CAGGAAAUAAUCUUCAUCCAUCCUUUCUUCAUGUAUUUCUCUCUAAGGAAAAGACAAGAGUUGGAAUCAUUUUGGGUUUUGAAGAGUAAAGAUAGGUAUAUGCUGUUUUGGCUUGUUAUUUUGAGUGCAAAAUUUGCGUUUGCUUACUUUCUUCAGAUCAGGCCUCUAGUGGACCAAACAAUGACUAUUAUAAAAGAG